rnacentral:lncRNA from 1 species
CCCAUAUCAAAAGCCACGUUUACUAUCAGAAAACGAAAGAACAUUUACUGAAAAUGACCUAGAGUCAUAUUCAUUACUAUUAAGUUUCUAAAAAUCUACCAAGAUAAAUUGUAUGAUUGAUAUCGAACUCCCUAAUAAGUCAAACGUUGAGGCUUCCGUUUCUUCAUAUGUUGUGCAUUGGGAGGGAAACAUUUACGUAGACUCUCACUUUUUAAAACUUUAUAUAGGAGAAAUGCCUAAUCAUAAAUUACUAUAUUCAUUUUUUUGGUAAGAUCAUAAACUACUAUAUUCAUGUGCCCUUAACCUUUUUCUUUUGAGAAGUUUUCAGUCAAACUCAUUGUCAACCAAAGUAGCAUUCUAUUCUUAAAUAAACUAUAAAAUUUGAAAUACCAGCUAAUGAAUUAUCAUGACAAUUUGAUAACACAAUUUAAGUAACUGGAAAAAGUUUUUUUUGAUAGAGAAACUGAAAUAAGUUCCCUAUGAUUUAUGAAGGAACGGAAAAGUUCAUUCUUACCUCGCAUAAUAUGAGCACCCCACAUAUGAUUAUAAAGCUCAUUCUUAUCUCGCUUAGUAUGAGCGGUCCACAAAACACUAUCAAGUAAAUCAUUUAAAUACACUAUGAAGCAGACCAUGCACUUGAGUGACAACAAAAAGGUAUUGUCUUAGGGUUAAGGGAGAAGGACUGCGAGAAAUUGAAUUUAGUUUUAUUUAUCAUGUCUUAUGUCAAUUCAAAUACCA